CCUACGGGUGUGCAGCAGUGGGGAAUAUUGGACAAUGGGCGAAAGCCUGAUCCAGCCAUGCCGCGUGUGUGAAGAAGGCCUUCGGGUUGUAAAGCACUUUCAGUGGGGAAGAAAGCCUUGGGGCUAAUACCCUCGAGGAAGGACAUCACCCACAGAAGAAGCACCGGCUAACUCCGUGCCAGCAGCCGCGGUAAUACGGAGGGUGCGAGCGUUAAUCGGAAUUACUGGGCGUAAAGCGCGCGUAGGCGGUCUGAUAAGCCGGUUGUGAAAGCCCCGGGCUCAACCUGGGAACGGCAUCCGGAACUGUCAGGCUAGAGUGCAGGAGAGGAAGGUAGAAUUCCCGGUGUAGCGGUGAAAUGCGUAGAGAUCGGGAGGAAUACCAGUGGCGAAGGCGGCCUUCUGGACUGACACUGACGCUGAGGUGCGAAAGCGUGGGUAGCAAACAGGAUUAGAUACCCCUGUAGUC
rnacentral:rRNA from 1 species